rfam:Bacteroides coprosuis DSM 18011 chromosome, whole genome shotgun sequence.
GAUUACAUCUUCUUCUCUGUAAUCGCGGCUG